rnacentral:lncRNA from 1 species
CAUGGAUGGACUGGACUUGCUGAGUCUUCUGACCUUCAUCUUUCUCCCAUGCUGGAUGCUUCCUACCCUUGAACAUCAGACUCCAAGUUCUUCAGCUUUUGCUCUCUUGGACUUAUGCCAGUGGUUUGUCAGGAGCUCUUGGGCUUUUGGCCACAGACUGAAGGCUGCACUGUUGACUUCUCAACUUUUGUGGUUUUGGGACUCGGACUGGCUUCCCUGCUCCCCAGUUUGCAGAAGGCCUAUUGUGGGACUUCACCUUGCGACCAUGUGAAGACAGUGAGAAGACGUCUUAACCAUCUAUGAACCAGAAAGCGGGAUCUCAGCAGACACCGAAUCAGCCGGCACCUUGAUCUUGGACUUCCCAUGUUCCAGAACUGGUCUGCACAUAACAAAGAUCUUAAUGGAAGUUGAUUAUACCGGAUGUCUAAAGGAGUGAAGUCCAACCUUCAUUAUGAAAUGGGAUAAUGAUGCUGGUGUUUGGCAGCCUUUCCAGAUACAUCUUAUGCUUACAGCUGGAGAUGAGGGAAAAGAAAAUGGUGUGUCAAAUACAAAACUCUUGUAUAUCUUAUUCUGUUGUUUAUUCAUUAUGUUAUCAGACAACUGUGGAAACACGACUUAGUCUAAUACUUUCCAACCAGAGUUUGUACAGCAUGAUUGUUAUCCUGCUCCUUCACGGAAUGCAUUAAUGAUCUCCUUUCACACUCACUCUUAAUGAAACAACUGUUUUAUCCUCUGGUAUCAGGGUUUCAAAUUUGUCAGUUUUUGAAAUGUUGUGCUCUUGUUGAUGUACAUUUUUCCUGUUGUUAUAUAAUAGAAAUAAGGAUGAGUAAUAUGCAUUAAAACUGUUUCCAUGGAGCACAUAAUUAAGGUUUAGAUGGACUUCCUGAAGAUAUCUAAAAAUUUAACUUCUGUAAUAUUUAUGUUUAAUUAGUCAGUUUUAGUCAUGGAGUGUUUCAAUGGCUGGACAGUAUUUAAAGCCUGAAGGGAAAAACAACUGUAGCUUCUAAACAGAAUAAAUUAAAAUUCAAUUUAAAAUAACUGUUA